rnacentral:piRNA from 1 species
UUUGGGUGCUGACGGUGGGGGUU